CCUGAAGGAGCAAUUUGAGGCCUAGGAGUUAGAGGUGGAAGGAGAGAUUCUUGAGUUUAAAUACUUUCCUUGAGAACAUAUUUACUUAAGACCUCUCGCCUCCAUUCCGUUCCGUGCAAGUGGCAGGCCCCUAAAACAAUGAAGGCUCGCUCUACCUGCCAUUCUGGUUUCGUUUCCGACCCAGAAGGACAUCAGUGUGACUGUUCAGCAGCCUUCUACGUGGAAUCCAUAUUAUUCAUUAUAGCGACAUUACCCUUUGUUCCGAGGUUUUUCUCCAUAAUUUUUUAGCUUACCUAGGAAGACCUUAAAAAGGAAGUUUAAUUCUUUGAAGACCAAAGCUCGCCAAUUUUUUCCAUGAGACCAGUUCACAGCUAGCUCUGUGCUGUCAGUGGGGUAGCCCAAAUUCCAAAAUCUAUCAUCUGGAAACAUACAAAAGCUCUCACACAGAUCUCCCCCCACCCCUUUCAAAGGAGGAAAAAAAAAAAACCCCACCACACUCUAAAUUGUAAAUCUAUUAUGUCCAUCUAGAUCUAAUAAGAUGUGGGGAGAUAAAACUAUAAGCUUUGUACUGUAAUCAUGGCAGGUCACCACCCUGCAGG
rnacentral:lncRNA from 1 species